GGAAUAUUGGGCAAUGGACGGAAGUCUGACCCAGCAACGCCGCGUGAAGGACGAAGGCCUUCGGGUCGUAAACUUCUUUUGAGGGAGACGAGGAAGGACGGUAUCCCUCGAAUAAGCCACGGCUAACUACGUGCCAGCAGCCGCGGUAAAACGUAGGUGGCGAGCGUUAUCCGGAUUCAUUGGGCGUAAAGAGCUUGUAGGUGGUGCGAUAAGUUGGACGUGAAAACUCCGGGCUUAACUUGGAGAGGCCGUUCAAUACUGUCAAGCUAUAGGGCGUCAGAGUGAAGGGGAAUUCCUGGUGUAGCAGUGAAAUGCGUAGAUAUCAGGAGGAACAUCCGUGGCAAAGGCGGCUUCCUGGGGCGCACCUGACACUGAGAAGCGAAAGCUAGGGGAGCAAACG
rnacentral:rRNA from 1 species